rnacentral:tRNA from 1 species
GGAUUGUGGCUCAGUGAUAGAGCGCUCGCCUAGCACAUUCGAGGCCUGGGUUCAAACCUCAACACCA